CCCUUAGAUGUUCUGGGCCGCACGCGCGCUACACUGAUGCAUUCAACGAGUUUUUCCUGGUCCGAGAGGAAUGGGUAACCUUUUGAAAGUGCAUCGUGCUAGGGAUAGACUAUUGCAAUUAUUGGUCUUCAACGAGGAAUUCCUAGUAGACGUAGUUCAUCAGACUGCAUCGAUUACGUCCCUGCCCUUUGUACACACCGCCCGUCGCUCCUACCGAUUGGAUGGUCCGGUGAAGCCUCCGGAUUGGCGCGCACCUCGGUGCCGCCGAGAAGUUGGCUAAACCUUACCAUUUAGAGGAAGGUGAAGUCGUAACA
rnacentral:rRNA from 1 species